rnacentral:rRNA from 1 species
AUUAGUGGCGAACGGGUGAGUAACACGUGGGCAAUCUGCCCUUCACUCUGGGACAAGCCCUGGAAACGGGGUCUAAUACCGGAUACGACUGCGGGAGGCAUCUCCUGUGGUGGAAAGCUCCGGCGGUGAAGGAUGAGCCCGCGGCCUAUCAGCUUGUUGGUGAGGUAACGGCUCACCAAGGCGACGACGGGUAGCCGGCCUGAGAGGGCGACCGGCCACACUGGGACUGAGACACGGCCCAGACUCCUACGGGAGGCAGCAGUGGGGAAUAUUGCACAAUGGGCGAAAGCCUGAUGCAGCGACGCCGCGUGAGGGAUGACGGCCUUCGGGUUGUAAACCUCUUUCAGCAGGGAAGAAGCGAAAGUGACGGUACCUGCAGAAGAAGCGCCGGCUAACUACGUGCCAGCAGCCGCGGUAAUACGUAGGGCGCAAGCGUUGUCCGGAAUUAUUGGGCGUAAAGAGCUCGUAGGCGGCUUGUCACGUCGGGUGUGAAAGCCCGGGGCUUAACCCCGGGUCUGCAUCCGAUACGGGCAGGCUAGAGUGUGGUAGGGGAGAUCGGAAUUCCUGGUGUAGCGGUGAAAUGCGCAGAUAUCAGGAGGAACACCGGUGGCGAAGGCGGAUCUCUGGGCCAUUACUGACGCUGAGGAGCGAAAGCGUGGGGAGCGAACAGGAUUAGAUACCCUGGUAGUCCACGCCGUAAACGUUGGGAACUAGGUGUUGGCGACAUUCCACGUCGUCGGUGCCGCAGCUA